rfam:Schistosoma haematobium scaffold172_7, whole genome shotgun sequence.
GCGCUGCUGAGGAGUUCCACAAUAGGACGAAACGGCCGUCCAGUGC